UAUCUAUCAAUCAUUUCUCUUUUUCUUAAUUUCAAGGAACAAAUAAUUUACACUUCCUGAGCACUAACAGUGUCCCCAGCACUGAACUUGAAUUAUUGCACUGAAUCCUCCUGACAGCCCUAUGAGGAAAUUAUUAUAGACGCCCCCAUCUAAUGUGACAUAUGCAAGCCCACAUUGUCAGCAAGGGGCAGAGCCAGGAUGUGCAUCCGGGCAGCCUCUGUCCACCCCUCCCCUCGCAGUCCCCAUCAGUUGGUUUUGUUACUGUGCCUUUCUCUUGAACGCAGCCCUUGGCGCUGUCCCUGGCUCGUGGCAGACACUCAACACUCAGCCAUGGUUGUUGCUGCUACUAUUACUAUUCACUUCUUAUUUAUUCUUACAUCACCUUUUGCGGGUUGUUAUACCCAGUGCUUUUUCUCCUGUUUAUACCUGUUUGAAAAAAUAUAAAGAAUCAUUCAAUUUGAAGAUUUUUGGUUUAUCAAAUGCAGAAGAAGGAAGAGGAUAUUUAUAUAAGUUUUUCAAGAGGAAUCUUUUAGAAAACCUACAAAUCAAAUAAUCAUUCCAGCUAGGGCAAUAGAAAAUAUCUAUACUGUUCUACAGUGAACUUCCCUUUUCUCCAGGAAUGUCUGCUAUGGAAUGGGACCAUCACUGGCAACUUCUACAGGAGGGCCUGCUUAACAACCUUUACCAAGGUCCAGCCCACACUCUUUAAACUGGCCUAGAAGGUCCUUCCUACUCUGCCCCUAACUUCCCUUCCAGCCUCUCUUCCUGCCCUAACCCGUUCUUAAUCCAUCAUUUCCCCCAUACAGCCAAACCAAGCCAUGCUCACUGACUCGUGCCUUCCUAUUUCGCACCUCUGGGUCUGCACAGAUUCUUUGAGCUGACAGUGGACACAUCCUCUAAGACGCAGUGGAAGCAUGACGUCUGGGAGGGGCCUCCAGACUCUGGCCCAGCUCAAGAUUCACUCUUCUCUUCCUAGAGGUCUUCCAGGAGAGUAUCCUUUCCCCAUAUGCUAACUAAUGUCCCUGAACAGCAUCACCUUCUCUAGACUAGGAAGCUUUGGGAGAAAGAUCUGAGUUCUGGGCAUUCUCAGUGCCCAGCAUGCCAGUGGCAUAUGGGUGGGGAUUAAUGAGGACUUGUUAGGGUAGAACUUUGGUGGUCAGGUCAAUGAAGCAGCAUUGAUAACUCCACUUAGAUAAAUGAAGCAAAAAGGGACGUUUAUCCUGAAGAAAAUGAGACGUCACAGGGAGCUUAAGAAAGGAACACUGGUAGUCUUCACGAAUGGAUAGAAAAAAAGAUCCUCAUGUCAGGCGCUUUCAGGCCCUCUCAGCUUUUGUCCAUGUCCCUUAUUUCCUCUCCCUCUCUCUCUCUCUCCUUCCCUCCCACCAUCCUUUCAUGCGCCCUUCCCUCUCUCCUUUUGUUUUUCAUGUCUACUUGAUAAGAAAUGUGGUAGCCAACACUUCAGCCAAAGUCUUCAAAUAUCCCUUCUCUCUUCCAGACUUCCUCAACAAAACUGUACCCCAUUUCCCAGUUUCUGUCUCAAAAUUUCCUAGAUAAGCCUUAGAUUGGCUUAUUUGGGGUUGGAUGACCAACACGAGACCAAUAAAACAGCCAGGGGACAGAGUAACAUUCUACCACUAAAGUGGAUUUUAAAAUAACAGUAAAGAUAUGGACAGUCAAGAUGGGCAGUUACUAGAAAAAACAUGAUGACAAGCAAAUUAUAAAGAUGUCCUGUGCAGGUGUGCAUGCACACACACACACACACACACACACACUACCCAAAACAUAGUAGGCCUGCCAAAAUAUUUGUUGAAUUACUAAUUGUAUAUGUACAUACACCUAUUUAUUAAUACAGAUUUCAUUAUUGAGGAAUACAUAUUCAUAAUGGUGGCUUUAGUCCUGGAAAAAUUCUCUGCUUCCUGUACCCUCAGAGAAGGAAAAUGAAUUUUCACUGCAGUUCAAAUGCUUGCUGGGGUCAAAACACUCUGUUAUCUUGAACAUAUGUCUAAUGAUAUUUGCUUUAAUGAAGAGCCACGGCUUACCUCCUUCUCCACAGCACUUGAUCUUGCAUUUGGGGUGUGGAAGGUCACCCAGCGUGUUCUUGCCCUCGGCUUUGGCUCACCCUGCUGGUGACGAGACCGCAGAAGGAUAAUAAAGAAUGGGACCCAGCCUUCCAUUAAUAGUUUGGCUGGGUUUCCAUUGCUGCCCUCUCUCGGCUUGUGGUCCUGCAAUGAGUUUCAGUCAAAAGCAAAAGGGAAGUGGUUAGUUUUAAAAGGAGUAUCUGCACUUUAACAGCCACUGGAGUCUCUGCAGUUUGCCCAUUGAGUUGCAGUGGGGUAGAAACAAAGAGCACAGACAGGCACCAGGGCAUCGCAGUUACAACGACAAGCUGCAGAGCCAACCCGGCUGGGUUCAUUUCUGCCUUUUUUCACUUAUUAACUUGGUCCAUUUUCUUCAUCUCUCUGUGUCUCUGUUUACUGUAAAAUAGGCAUAACAACAGUACCAUGCCUACAGGUUCAUUCUAGGGCAUAAAUGAAUGACUGAGAGGGUUGACAUUGUGCCUGGAACAUAGCAGCAUGCUCAGGUCUCAUAAGCAUGGAGUCAUAAACUCACUCCCGAGCUGUCCUUGUGCCAUCUUCCGUCAUAUCCCCAUGUUAAUAACCUAAAUCUUCAUGCCACAGGAUUCACUGAAACCCAUCCUUCUGCCUUCUCAGACACUCUGGUUGUUUGCCUCUCUCAUACCUUGACCUCGAGGUUGGAGAGGCUUGACCUUCUCCAUCCUUCUUCCCUGGUUCUCUUGUGACUUCUCUGUACUACCAUGGCCAUCUCCCACUCACUUCAAUGUUCACACACAUGUACACAUUCACAGACUGGGCUCUGCUCCUUCCCUCAUGGGUCUGCUGUGGUUGCAGAUCCCACUGAGGGAGUGGGAAGGGUAGAAUGAAUUUACAACCCAAAGAGGAAGCACCUCAACCUCAAUAGUGACUUAGCACUGUUCUUUCUACCCAGAAACCUCCUGCCCUCACAAAGGUCCCUAUGCUCCUCCUCCUUCAUUCUCAGCCUACCAUGGCCUGGGGAGCUGUGGUCAUCUCCCUGUGAAGAGCCAGCUAUGCCCUGAUGCCAAGCCUCAGCCAGACCCCACGUGGUCCUUAGAGACCUAGGAAGGCAGACUUUCACUUCACUCAGUAGAUGUUAAACAUCCUAGUGGGAACAUUAAGCACUCGAAUAAUUUCAUAGAUUCUGGAUUUUUCCCAAGGUUACAUGUCUUCCCCCAUACACAACUUUGGUAGAUAUUCACCUUAUGCAAUGCAUGUUUAACUGGAUCUCCAGUGUGACUUCACCUGGAACAAACACUCUCCACCCAAAAGAAAUAUAUGCUUCCAUGUUUCAGAUCCCCGAAAUUCAGAAAUAUUGGGGCCCUGCCUCAGAGCACCCCACUACAGCAAUAUGCUAUAUAUGGAAUGUCCUUAGAAAAAGGAGGCUAGGAUCAGUUGAGCUCACAGCACUGGUCAUAAGCUUCAUAUAAGCCACUCCAUUUAUUUAAGUCUUCCAACAAUGCUGCUGAGCAGACAUUUCAUUUAUUAGGGACUGAGACUGAGCAGGAAGUGAUGACCUGAACAGUGAAGCCAGCCUCUGAGGGUUAGAAUCCACUUCUGUGGCAUUCCAGCCUCCCUGCUUUUUCCCAGACACCUCCCUGCUUUUUCCCAGACACCUCACCUGCCUUCACAACUCCAGGGUUAAUGGUUGCUCCAUCGUGCCUGGUGUUUGCCCAACCCAAUCUCCUCCUAGACCACAGACAUGAGUGGAAAGUCCUACUGUACAGGAACUCAAUUCUGUCUGAGAGCUCUGGGCUGGUGACAGGAGGCUCAUUCUGCUGUACACUGGCUGUGCACUCUUGGUUAGGGUUUCAACACCAGUGUUUUCACACUAUGGUCAUGACCUGCUGGAGUUUCAUGAAAUCAGCUGAGUACAACUGGCAUUUUAAAACAACAAAACAGAAUAUUAUAAAAUAGAAAAUAUCAGAUUUAAACACCCACAUUUGGAAGGAAUGUUGUUUUGGGCAACUUUUGUUUAGUUUAUCUGUCACAUAGCUAGCUAGCUGUAAAUAUGUUUUGUAAAACUUCUGUUUCUCACUUUGCCUAUAUAUGUAUCUGGCUAUUUCUCUAUCUGUUUAUGCGUCUGUAUCUAGUUUGUCUGUCUGUCUAUCAUUCCAUGCAUAUAUUUGGACUGGAUUGUAGUUAAAUGCAUAUCUUACUAUGCAUUGAGGUUGAAAAAGUUUAAAUUCACUUCUCUGAAUCUCUCUGAAAGUUUAGGUUUCUUUCUAUCUUUUCUUUCUAUAAAAAAGGUUAUAUAAAGAUAUAACCUAAUGGGUUGUUGUGAGGUUCAAGUGAGAUGUAUAUUAAAGGACUUUGUAAAGUCUGAUUUCUCACAAACAGGCUGUUUACUACCAAGAAAAGAUUGGCAUCGCAUGCCACUCAGAGUUCCAGAUUUGAACCCCUACUUCUCUGUUCCUCAGAGAAGGCCUCCAUUUCCUCAUGACUGUCUGAUAAACAUGGAGCUGCUCUGGGGAGAUGCAAUUGUGAGGAAAUGGAUACAAGGCAGAAAACAAAUUCCAAGGCUGUUGGAGACCCCAGUGCUAAGGACUGGAGUGAGAUCCACUCAAUGGGGUAACACUGAGACCCACGACUGUGGAAAUGUAAUAAGAUGACUCAGCAGAAUGCAGGCUGACAUCUCCAUGGACAAAUCAUACAUUUUCUUAUAAGUUGGGCCUUCAGAAGUAAUAUUCUUUUCAAAAAGUUAAUAAUAAGCGAGGCUCUUCUAUUCUAGCCAGAAUCCAGUGUGAAUAUUUGAAACAAAUGACUUUCACAGAUAUAUAGAGGGAAGAAAGAAUUCAAAGCUAGCAUCUUAUCUUGGAGAUGAAAAAAGUGGGGGUGGGAGGAGAGAGCCACUGUCACACAAUGGCUCUGUGAGAGCAGUUAGAUUAGAAUCCAGGUCUAUCCCAGGACUGGAAAAAAUACACACUCAGUGGUUCUCACUGGUGAUGGAUUUAUGGGUAACUGAUUUUCUUCUUUGUUUUUUCAAAUUUCAAAAGGGAAUGUAAAUUAUUUUUACAGUCUGAUUUUUUUUAAAUUUUCAAGUCAUUAAAAAAUAGAAUGCAUCAGAGGAGAGUAACCAGGAUGAAAGGGGAAUUCCAAACUGUUUUACACAAGAAAUAGUUAAGAAAAUUGGAAUAUUUAUUAUGGAGAUGUAAACUCUUACCAGAGUGUAAACAGGAAGAGGCAUUCACAAUCACUCACUGUCUGCAAAAGCAAAAGAUCUCUGAAAGCAAAGGGGCUGGGUUUUUCUUCUUUGUGGCUCCAGGGACAGAAUCAAAGAGCCUAAGCCGGUUUCAGAGAGAUCUUUUCCAUAUCUAGAAAGAAUUUCUUACAGGUAAAGCUGAACUUAGGAAACCUGGGGAUUGUCAUCACUGGAGGAGCUUGGCAGAGACUGAAGAACAAAUGGCGGUGGAGUUUUCAGAGGGAUUUUCAUGGGUUGGUGCUUGAAGGAAAAGAUCUGAGUGUAUUCUAAUUUAGGACACCCUAUGAGGAUGCAGGAAGCUCUUACAGUGCCCUGUGGCUCCACAUCUCUCUUAGAUGUGGCUUAAAUUAUUGUAGCGAACAUGUUUCAUGUUCCACCAUCAUCUUCUUAGCCAUGGCUUUAGGACAUGCUUUUAUGGCGGCAUCUUCUGGACCUUCCUUCGUAAUAGACUCAGUAAUGACCCCCAAAGAUGCUCACAUUCUAAUGACUGGAACCUGUGAAUACGUCACCUUACCUGGCAAAAGAUAAUUUUGCAUAUGUUAUUAGAUUAAGGGUCUUGGGAUGGGAGAUUAUCCUGGAUUAUCUGAAUGAGCCCAGUGUAAUCACAAGGGUCCUUAUAAGAGGAAAGCAGGAGGGUCAGAGUCAGAGAAGAAGACGUGACCACAGAAGCAGAGGAUGAAGUGAUGUACUUUGAAGAUAAAGGAAGUGGCCAUGAGCCAAGGAAUGCAAGCAGCCUCUAGAAGGUAGAAAAGAGAAGGAAACAAUCUCUCCUCUAGAGCUUCCAGAAGGAACGCCAGCCUGUUGGCAUCCUGAUUUGGGGCUUCUAACUUCCAGACUGCAAGAUCAUAAAUUUGUGUUAUUUUAAGCUUCUAAGUUCGUGCUAACUUGUUACAGCAGCAAUGGGAAACAAAUCAUGGAGCCAAUUAAAUAAACACAGGGAGGGAAAGAAAGAUGAUCUAACUUAUUGUGAGGCCUGAUACACCUGGGGCAGACUACACACUUUGCUUUAUGUGCUUAUCACUUGAACCUUAGAUGUGGGUAUCAGAAACCCUAUUUUAUAGGUGAGGAAUCUAAAGCUUUAUAGACAUUAAGUCAGUUGCAUAAGAGAAUUUUUACAGUCUGAGAAAUCAAGCUGGAAUCUAGACCAAGAGCUGCCUAGCUUUUCCCACUGAACUUUGCUGCUUCCUAGCAGGUCUCCCAGGAACCAGAUCUAAUCACUGCUGCCCUGUGCCUUCCCUUUCUAUCCACCGUCUGAACUCUAAGCCCUGCAGUUCCAGGAGGCCUGGGCAUGGGGAGGCCCUCUCCCCACAGGAGCAUGCGCAUGGUUGGCUGUGAAUAUUCAACACCCUGAUAUUCGGCUUACUCCCCAAAGAAGAUUGCAUAAAGAUGGCCGUUCUGCAUGGAAUGGAAUUCUCUGCAGAAGACACACAGAAAAUAUGGGCACACAGCCAAUAUUUUCUACUUGGAACCUGGGAUACUUGCUUUGCCCAGUACAAUGUAGCAAAACUUGGUGCUGGACAGAUUCUGAGUUCUGACCUCAAAAAAAAACAUAUAGGCUCUGAUUUCUCUUUUACAACCCUGAUAAGUCAGAAAAUAAAAAAGCCUGAGAUAAACUGCUGGAUGAUUGGUUGCCAUGUUGAGAAGAUAAGAGGCACUGCAUCUGACAGCAGCCAGUUUCCAGAAAACCUAGCACCUGUCUUCAGAUGCAUGAGUGAGGCCCAGCCAAGAUCAGCUAAGUCUGGCUUAAAUUAGCAGAACUACCCAUUCCAAAUCUGAGCUCAUCUCAGGUUGCUGACCUGCAAAACUGUGAUCCAAGUAAGUGGUUUUUGUUUUUUACAUCAUAAGUGUCGGGUGACUUGUUACUCAGCAAAAGCUAACUGAUAUAUCCUCUUAACCUCACACCAUUUUUUUUCUCACUGUUAAACUUUUGCACAUAGUGUCUUCUUUUCUUAGAAGACCUUUUCCAAUCUCCUUAUCUUUCUACUCAUCCUUUAAGCCUCUUCUCUGAGGAGUCUUUCGUGGUGCCCAUACCUGGGUAAAUCACCCUUUCCCUGAGCUCCCAAAGCUCCCUAGGAUCCUUCUAGCACUGCCUUGUUACCCUGUGUUUGACCUUCUCAUUUACUGGUCAUAACUCCUCCCCUGCAGACAGUAGAAUGUACCAGCAUGCAUAGCUGAACUUCAUUACUGCAGGCCAAGUGUCGAGAUUCAUACUUGAAUAUCAUAGGAAGGUAGAUGUAGACAUAUCACUGAAGCUUGAGAGGUCAGGGUAAACAGCCUGGAGGAUAUUACCUCUGGAGAAAUGUUGAAGUUGGUACAACCAAGUGUUUUCCAGGUAAAAAGGCCCAUGUGAAGAGCUUCAGGAAGGAGAGAGAGAAUGCCAUAUUUGAGGACUGGAAUGCAUUCAGGUUUUUGUCUGAUGGGGUAGAGCACAGGUAAAGGCCAGGAAUCGUCAGGAGUCACCGGCAGACUAGGAUCAGCCACCUGGAUCAAGUCAGCCAAACCUCUCCUUCCUUUCAGUUCUGUCUAUUUUCUUUAUGCUCGUUCUUUGGACAGAAUACAGUUGUUUUGAAAACCUCAGUCUGAUUCCACUAGGCUAGGAAGAACUAAAAAGUGGAUUCAGUUUUCAAGUGGCUUCAGCAAGUUCUUCCUUUCCUGGUAUCCAGGCCAGUGGCAAAGAUUUUCUUCCCAGAUUAACAGCAGGGAGAGGAGAGGUGUGGCCCAGAAGUGUGUAAAUAGAGCACUAAGGCUAACAAAACCUGGGGAGCUGACUCUCUGCAUUUGCUCCGGUGUCUGGUGGGGCGCAGGCUCCUCUCCAGGUGGUACUAAUAAAAUGAGGCUGGGAUAAUGGGAUAAAAGCCCAGAAACAUAAAAGCUGCCUGGAGGGGAAAGGGAAGAAGCAGUGGGGGGAUACUUUCCUCCCAAUGUUAACUGUUCCCGCAUUAAUCAGAUUCAGGUAUCACAAAUUGGUCUUGUCUGCUCUUCCAGGAACAUUAAGGGAAGCUGCAACUCCAGAGUUAUGGGUCUUUAAAGCAGGAACAACCCCUUUAAUCAAGUGGCCUAGCCUCUCCUGAGAGAGGCAGAAAAUGUAAGGCUCAGAGAGGGGCAGUGCCUUGGGACAGUUUGCACAGUGAACAGAUGCCCUUUGCUUUCCUUAACUAGACUAUAAGACGGCUGAGGGCAGGGACCUGAUUUCUGGACUAACUUCAUAUCACCAUGCCUCACACACUAGUGGUGUAGAUGGAAAUACAAUCCAACAAAAUGGCAAAUGACAAGGUCAUCUCAUGGGAAGGUAAGGGUUGUAAAUGAAAAGAGUGAGAGCACUGUGAAGGUGACUGGACAGGGAAGCACAUUGUGUGGUGUUUAGAAUGGGAAGGACAGGGUAGGGUCAAGCUUAAAGGAUGAAUGGGAGCUCAGGGAAUUCUUAGGUCUUACCAGCAGGAAAGGAGAACCCUAAUACCACAUCAGAGGAGCCAGUGUUAAGCUCUGGGGAGUGGGGGUUGGAGCCAAAACAAGAAGAGAAACCAGGAGGAAAUGGCUGCUCAGAAGUGUGACGAGCUAGUAGACCAGAUGGACCAGACAUCUCAGCUGGGAAAGCCCCAAAGAUGAGUUCAGCAUCAAUACUAGGAUGGUGUGAGUUUAAGAUUAGGAAAGGUUUUGGACUGAGGGGACUCAGCCCUCACACCACUUUUACAAGAGCCAAGGUCCAACAGCACCAGGACAAUUAGUUAAGACUGAAGAGGACCUUUGGGGGACAGAAGCCACCACCAGCACAAACAAGGAGCAAGCAAGGAAGAGAGGAGUGGAUGCAGAUGGAGCCCUGAUGGAUUCCCAGGAAUGACUUUUGUUUGCAUGGAUGCCUCUUUGGAAGAGGAGAGCUCCACGUGCCCGCGCCUCUUGAGGCCUAUAAGAAGGUGAGUAGGAGCCCAUCUGGACCUACUCCUGGGCGCACUUCCCAGGUCAUGGAGCCUCUCCAUACCUUAGAGUCCUAAUUCACAUCAGGUAGAUGAUGGCAGGACCUUUCUCAUAAGGCCAUUGUUGUAGCUAAAGCAGGUAGAAUAGGACCCAGCCCAAGCAUGGGUGAUGUGUGUGCUGAUCAUCUGACACUCAACAGUGUAUAAUUCUGAGAACUAAACUUCACUCACAUCUUACUUUGCAUUAUUGCCAAGCACUUAAAACAUAUUCUCAUUCAAUCUCUAUUACAGCCAAUGAAAUUUGAGACAUUUCCCUUUGUCUAUUUGUCAGCUGAGUGCCAAGGUCAAGAAAAACAGUGAACUGUGCCCUCAUAUUCUAAAGUAGCCAUACCUGGUUCUGCCCUCAUCAGCCCAUCAAAUACUCUUGGCAGCCUAGGAAUUUUUUGGAAAGAAGGCUGAAGAAUGAAAGCCUCUUUGGAAACAGUCACUGGCAUGCAGCUCUCUGGUAACCCUUAGCAACUGAAGAAGCCUCAAGAGAAUAAUUAGGGGGAGUUGACGUGUGUUCCCCACCUUUGGGGGUGAUAGGGACCAUCAUAUGACUUUUACCUGUAGGAGUCUAAAGGUGGUAGACUGGCUGAAAUAGUGUAGUGUGGCACAGCAAAUCCUGGUAGCAGCCAUCAGAGCCACCUCUUCUUCUAGAAACUCUUGGUAUCAGCCAGAAUAGCCAAUAUGAAGAUUCUGGCUUUGGGAUGCUCAAGGGAAUGUCCUACAAGGGUGAGAGGAUUUCAGCAUGGUGAGUAUGGAGAGACCUCUUAGAAAUUAAGGGCUGACUAGACUCAUAUAAGGCCCAUUAGAGAGGCCAUCAUCCUACCAUGGGACUACCAAGGGGGUCCCCAGUAAGAUCUCUGAGGAACCCACAAAAGCAUCUCAAGAAGAAAGAAUUACUUUUGAAUACAAAUACCAAUGUUUGGCUGCAACUGUACCAGAUAUACCAGGCUCUAUGGGUACUACCAUCUCUUCUGUACCCACCCUUCAAUGUGGCCCCUUUCUUAAAGGACCACACAUCCCAGGGAGAGGGAGGAAGACAUGGAGCAGAAGGGGUUAGAGACAGGAGAACUCAUGCCUUCUCCACUGCUGGCAUUUCCGUUCAUCCAACCCAAAUUUUAAACAGGAUAAGGAUUUUAUUCAACUGGACUACACAUCUUAACAAUUCCAAGACAGGAAUAGAGAAGAGGGACCUGGCAUAACACAGAGGCAAGAAAAUUACAUGAAAGAAUAAAGUUGCUUCCUGCCUGCUCCCAACCUAAUAGAACCCAUUCAUGAAUUUUGGUAUACAAAUCAAGUAGGCUGUGCUAGCGCCACGGUCCAGAGAAGAAGGCCAAGGCUUGGACAGGUCAGGUGAUUUCCCCAAGAUUGCACAGCUCAGAGUUGCAGCUCCGUAUGCAGAUCUAUCUGCCUCCAGGGACUGUGCUGGUAAUGCCCAGAUGUAUACCUACAGCAGUUAAUGUGGAGUUAGCAAGAAUGGAAGGGUUGAAGCUACAAAAGGCAGUGUGUACACAGCAGAGCAGCUUCAGUUUUGUAACGCAGAGCACAGCCUGUUUAUUGAUGAUCCUCUUCCUAAGUACUUCCCUCAUGUUUAUGAAAUGAUGUGUGGGUCCUGCCCCAUUUUUAAUGACUCCUUAUUUACAUGGAGCACAUUAUUUAUGGAAGCAGAGAUAGCGCCAUUGCAAACCCAUUAGAAAGCAGAGAUAGGAGGAAGGCAUUGUUCACUCCCCAGCUAGGACAGGAUUCUAAUUACUCAAGAGCUCACCCUCCUCACUGUGGUACCAGGCUCAAUAAAUAACACCCCGUAUGGAAAUGGUGCUUGAUGUAAAUUGUGACUCAGUCCACAUAAAUUGAUAUUUGGCUGGUGGAGAGCUUCCAGCAUUUGGCAAGAAAGUGAGUAGCAGCCUGGGAAUUUGAAGACCCGGUUCCUCAGAGAUGGCAGCCCCCAUUCCUCACUGCACACUUCUCAGAAACAAUUAACAUUUUUUAUUUAAGUAAUAAGCUCCAAAGAAGAGAUGUAGCUGGAAGAUAAUAGCCCUUGUGAAAUCACAAGGUGUUUGGAGGUGAAUCUAUGGGCACUUCGCAUAAUGAGACGACCAUCCAUGGAUGCCAAUUUUCAUAGAGCUUUUCAGUGCUAAUCGUUUUUCCAAGAAAUAAUUCUGAGAGUCCAAGGUGGAAGCUGAGCUUCAAAGGCUAAAUUGCUCAAAUAACUUUGGAAUUCAUGAACUCUCAGGAAAUGCUAGCUGUGGGACCAAAGAGGCUGUCAUUUGGGUUUGUUAAGAAAAUACGAUUUGCUUUCUUCAAGGAGAGAUGGGUGGUCCUUCUGAUGUGGGACUCAGGGCUACAGGACCAUUCUGUGCUUCUGGGAAAAUCAGCAGCAAAGGUGAUGAUUCAACAGCCCAUUCCCCUUGCUCAGAAGGCAGCAACUGGUCCUGUCCAAACCAGUAGCAGAAUAAUUUCGGGAAGAGGUGAAAAUUUGUAAGACUCGGUAUUAUGAGGAAAAGGGAAGUCCUCUAAAAAAACAACAACAUGUAAGUGAAAACCCAGAAAUGGACCCCACACACCCCGAGUACAGGCUAUGGGGACUGCCCCAAGUGUUGCUGUCUGCUGCUCUUCCCAGAGGAGGCAAGGGAAGCAGAAGAAAAACUUCAAGUUUUGCAGUCCACAGAAAACUGGACUUGACUUCUGUUUCUGCUACUCAUAUGCUCUGUGACCAUGAGCAUGUGAUAUAGCUUGUUGUUGUUGUUUUUUGAGAUGGAGUUUCCCCCUUGUUGCCUAGGCUGAAAUGCAAUGGUGCGGUCUCCGCUCACAGCAACCUCCACCUCCUGGGUUCAAGCGAUUCUCCUGCCACAACCUCCCAGAUACCCAGGAUUUCAGGCACCUGCCACCAUGCCUGGCUAGUUUUUGUAUUUUUAGUAGAGAUGGGGUUUCACCAUGUUGGCCAGGCUGGUCUCAAACUCCUUACCACAGGUGAUCUGCCCGCCUCGGCCUCUCAAAGUGCUGGGAUUACAGGGGUGAGCCACCUGGCCCAGCCAGCCUUCAUCACAUUAUUUGAUUCCUUUCAAUGAGCCAAUUUUGAUGCCAGCACUGGAGAUACAGGUGUCCUGGGCUCAAGAAGUUCAGUGUGUGUCCUAAGGUCUCACUCAAGUCACAGACCCUUUCCUAUUUGAUCUCCUGCCCAAGAGGCUUGGACUUUUCUCCAGAGGCUUGGUGCAACUCACACAUAUUGUGCUAGUCUAGGGCUAGGGGGCUUCACCCUGUUUUCUCAUGUAUAUUUCAGGACAAGGCUUCGAGGGAAGUAUUAUUAAUUCAAUUUAAUUAAGCCCACUAAUCAAAGCUGUGGAGUAGCUUGAACAAGGCCCAUGCUAGUUGGCAGUAGAGUAGGUCUCUGGCUUCCCAUUGAGUGUUCUUUCCUUGAUACCCCAUGAGUCCUGGGCAGAGCACCAAGCAGCAGCAGCUACUCACACAUGCUCGGGCCAAAGCCCCUCAUCACCCUGUGAGCAGAGUAGGGAUGGUAGUGCAGAGGCUGAGAGCCAAAGUUCAUCGUGCUGUCCACUCGGUGCUACCUACUUGGUGGCUAAGGCAGUUCCUAGCUGGGCCUCAGUUUCCUGCUCUUUAAAUUGGGCUUGGGGAGACCAAUGGCUGCUGUGUUCAGUUGUACACAUGAACCCCUGGCCAAAGGGAAAGUGGUGGACAGAAUCUAGCCCACUUUCUGCUUGCAAUGCUGGGCAUCCUCACGUGGAACCGAGCCUGUCCAGAGGAAGGAGCAGUCUUUCUGUAAUUACUCAAAAGCUCUAUAUGUGCUACUGGGUUCCCUCGAGAGGCAAAAGCAUCUCCACAUUUCCUCCCAACACCUUUCGAUAUCUCCAGUGUGCACAAUCCUGAGAGAGAGAGAGAGAGAAAUACAAAAGCAGGAGUCCCUCCCCACCCCCCGCCAGGGUUAAACUGAAUUUCGCCAUGAUGUGCAUUUAUGUGCCUGUUGAGGCAAAGCUGCUCUGUAGAAAGAGCGCAGGCUUCAGGAUCAGUGAGCUCCAGCUUCACUCCCAGGACCCCACCUCCUAGCCACUGGAACUCAGACAUCAGAAUGAAUGCUGUCCUCUGUCACAGCUAUGUGCCAGAGUCUACUAUGUGCCAGACCUGCAGGACGUUGGUGCACGUAGUGACACUCCAGCAUCACCAACCCUCUUCUCCCCUCAUCUUGCAGAGCAAUGAAGGUACUUGGCUACCAUGAUAGAGUUGAGAAGGAGUUGCUUGCACCUGGAUGAGGAUUCAGGUGUCUCCAACCCAAAAGCACUUGCUCUUGGUUGCCUUGCUCUGCCUCACCCAAGUGAGAAUAACCCUGCUUUUCCCCAUUGGUUUCUUGUAAUGGUCACAGUGGUUCACCAUCUCAGGUCAGACCUGGGUUUAAAUCCUGGCUUCUUUAAGUUCUAACCUUUUGACCUUAAGAAAUCACUAAGCCUCAACUUUCUCACCUUUGAAAUGAAGACUACAAUAAAGGUCCCUAACUGAAAAGCUUAUUGUGAGUAUUAAAUAAAAAUUAUGUAGAUAUACACAGAUCAUAGGCGCAUGGUAAGAGCUCAAUAAGUGUGAGAUAUUAUUUAGCAGGGGUUGAAGUGACGCCGGUAUUAUUUAAGUUCCCAGUCCAGCUCCUCACGUAAUGUGGGUGCUCCAUGAUUGAUUAUCAGCUUUCUUUCAUUGUGGAAGAGUAGAGAGGGAUAGAACAAUGUUCCAGUGGAAAGUGGAGAAGAGAGACGGCACUUGGGAGUCAGCAGGUUAUGUCUUCAGGAACUCAGUGUUGACCUCCACUGUCAUUUAAACUUUCUUAUUUGUCCUUAAAGAAUGUCAAUGCCUAGAUUUUGAAGUGUUAACAAAGUGUUCCAAAGUGUGUCUCCCCAAGUUCCGUGAAUUACAGGUUAGAGAACACUCUUCUAGCAAGCUCCCCAUUCCCUUACUCAGGCUCAAGAUCUAUCACCUGUACCUGGGAACCUGGGUGAAGAGGCCUGUCCAGGUGGUUCUUUGUACCUGGGGGUAUCUGGCCCUCCCUGAUUCCUUUCCACCUUCCAUAUGCUCCCCUCUGACUCACUUCUGUUGUAGCCAAGAGGGCAAGUGUGGAGAGGUUGUUUAAAACAACCUCUCACACACACCAAACCCUAUAAUCAUCCAAAGUGGUCAUUUGAUCUACGUGGGAAGGCAUGCACUCCCGUCGGCUUCCAGGCACCAGGAAGUGACACCAGCAAGCAAGGAAGCCACACCACUAAUAGGAAUAACUGCCAUCUGUCACAGGAUGCCUGCUGGUCACCAGGCAUUUCACAUGCACCGUAUCAUUAGUCUUCACAGCAAACCCUGAGGGAGGCCUUACAGGCUGUGUGUUACAGAUGAAGGAACGAGGGUCAGCAGGGUGAAGGAACUUGCCCACAUCCUCCACAGCUACUAGGUGGCAGCGCUGGGAUUCUAGCCAGGUAUGUCUGACUUGGGAGCCUGGGCCCUGGCCAUUCAGCCAGGCUGACAUCCAAUUUGAUAUGGUCAUUUGAAGAACCCAGAAAGUAACAACAGUGAAUUUUCAGUCAUAAAGACUGAAGGACCCCCAUUCAAUAGCGACUUUGUUCAGGGCCUCAGAAGCCCUGUAGAUGUUUUUGAAUAGUAGGUUAUUCUCUUUUCUCUGGCAAAAUUCAGCAAGUGUGCAAGGUUCCUAGCACAAGCGGACCUGUUAUGUGCUAGGAAAUGUGCUGGGUUCCUAAAACACACAAUAAUAUUCAAUAUGGUUCUUCAGAACUCCAAGUCUCACUACCACUUAUAACGUUGACUGUGUGACCCUGGGAAAGUUAGUUACCAAUCUUGUACCCUCACUUUCUUAUCUGUGUUCUGUAUGUCAUAAAUAGCUGAGAUAAAUGUAUCAAACAACUAGCCCAGCGCAUGACCUAGGAUAGGUGUGUGAUCUCUGGUAUCAGAAGCAGUUGCAAUUACCAUGAUUGUUUUCCUUGCUUGGUCCACACAAUCCCUUCCCCAUGGUCUUUCCUUUAUCCCCAUCAGCCUAAGGAUCCAGCCCACUUGCUUCUCCUCUCCCCAGUAAGCCACCUGAGGUUCCCUGGGCUUCCUUUCAUCCCCCGUGGUAUGUGAAAAACAGGAUGUAGAAUUCCUUUCUUUCUCCUGUUUUGGUGUCCCCACAGAUAAACCUAAAGACUUUCUCACUUCAAGGAUUUUACUAACAAUUUAUCCCAGGGUACAGGAAGGUGCCACAAAUGGUCCCAGGCAGAGGCACAUCAUCUGUGUGUGGCUCCUGAAUCCUUCUUUGAGAUGGUCCCAGGACAUUCUCCUCCACUGUGCCUCUAACUGACCAACUGCUCUUGUUUUUGUUAUCUAACCCUAAUCAAAGCAAUCAUCUCUUUCUGAUACUUUUUCAAUUUAUUCAUUUUUAUUUUUAUUUUUAUUUUCAUUUUGAGACAGUGUCUCGCUCUAUCAUCCAGGCUGGAGUGCAGUGGCGCAAUCUUGACUCACUGCAACCUCCGCCUCCCAGGUUCAAGUGAUUCUCAUGUCUCAGUCUCCUAAGUAGCUGAGAUUGCAAGUGUGCCUCACCACAUCUGGCUAAUUUUUGUAUUUCCAGUAAAGACAGGGUUUCACCAUGUUGGCCAGGCUGGUCUUGAACUCCUGGCCUCAAGUGAUCCACUUGUCUUGGCCUCCCAAAGUGCUGGGAUUACAGGCGUGAGCCACCAUGACUGGCCAAUUUUUAAAUUUAAAUUUAAACAGAGGUACACAGAUUUUUCUAUCAUGCGGAAUGUACGCAUGCUUUAUGUAACCACGGUUAACAUACUAACAUUGUGGGGUUCUGGGAUCUGGAGUGACUUCUAGGAGGAUAUGGUCUGAGCCCUUAUCCUUGAAGAAUGAGCCUAGACUUGUGAGGUAGAUAGACAGAGUGAUUAAGGAUACUCCAGACAGGGGAAGCAGAACAAAGGGGCAAAGAGGGUGACAAUGUGUUCAAAAUGGAGCAAGGCUGUGCAACUGGUGUGCCAGGUUCAUGGUUGAGGGUGGGAGGCGAGUGAUAGGAAAUGGAGCUGGAAAAUUCACUUCAGCCUAUUGCAAUGGUCUUUAUAAGCUUCCAAUUUAUUAGAUAUUGCUAUGGGGUGAAGCGUGUCCUCCCAAGAAAGAUAUCCACAAAUGACAACCCCCAGUACCUCAAAAUGUGACCUAACUUGUAAACAGGGUCCUAAAAGAGGUAAUCAAGUUAAAAUGAGGUUAUUUGGUUAGACCCUAAUCCAGUAUGUUGGGUGUCCUUAUAAAAAGGGAGAAUGUGGACACAGGAAUAGACACACACAGAGAGAGCACAAUGAAAAGGCAUGGGAUUGGAGUGACACAAUGACAAGCAAAGACAUGUCUGAGACUACCAGAAGCUAGGAGAAAGACCUGGAACAGGUCCUUUUCUAAAACCGCCAAAGGAAGCAACACCCUGCUGACAACACCUCGAUCUUGGACUCUGGCCUCCACAACUGUAAGACAAUGAAUUUCUGGGGGGUUUUUGUUUCGUUUUGAGAUGGAGUCUCACUCUGUCGUCAGGCUGGAGUGCAAUGGCAUAAUCUCAGCUCACUGCAAUCUCCACCUGCCAAGUUCAAGAGAUUCUCCUGUCUCAGCCUCCUGAGUAGCUGGGAUUACAGGCCUGCAACACCACACCCAGCUAAUUUUUGUAUUUUUAGUGGAGAUGGGGUUUCACCAUGUUGGCCAGGAUGGCCUCGAUCUUCUGACCUCAUGAUUCGCUCACCUUGGCCUCCCAAAGUGCUGGGAUUACAGGUGUGAGCCACCACGCCUGGCCAUUUCUGUUUUUUUUAAGCCACCCAGUUUGUGAAACUCUGUAUGACAUCCUUAGCAAAGUGAUAUAGUCAUAUACUGAAUGAUUAACUGCCAGCAGGGAAGGCCUUCAUUGGGUUGGGAAUCCCCAACAUGAACAUGACAGGUAGUGAAAGCUCCCUCUUUAAAAGGACCAGGGGAGAGUAGAGCUUAUUGAUCAGGAGCUGAGCUUUUGAAACCAGACUGCCUGCUUUGUCUUCCUUCUCUGCCUCUUCCUUUCUAUGUGUCUGGUGCCUCAGUUUCCUGAUCUAUUCAAUGGGGGACAUGCUAAUAUCUAAAGGGUUGCAGGGAAGAGUAAAUUAUGUCUCACAAGUACCCACAUAAUGCGUGGCACUAGUAAGCGGUCAAUAAAUGCUAGCUCUCAUUACCAAGCUUGUCUUCCUUUGAGUUUUUGCAGUGAAAACUGUUCUCUGCUUGGUAGAAUUUGCCCGCAGGCCCCCAUGUGACAGGGGCUCUUACAAAAGAGUUUGUUUACAUGCAUCAAGUUACCAACAUUUUCCAAGAAAAGCGUUCUCUUUCACUUGGGUAUUUACUUACAGAAUCUAGUCCUAGCCCAGAGAAAAGUGAUGCUUGUGGCUGGUGAGCUGCUUCUUGACCCUAAACCCCUCCCUCGUGGUUCUGCUCAGCAUUUCUAGAAUAUAUCCCAAAGUAAUCAAAAGCACAGGCAAGCAUGUAAAGAGAGACAUGCGGUUUCAUAGGAAAAAUUAAAGAGUGUAGGCUGGGACCAGGAUUUGAAUUCCUUCUUGGCUACCAAAUAGCAGUAUGAACUUUGACUUGUGACCCAGGUCUUUGAGUCUCAAUUUCCUCACAUGCAAAAAGGAACUACUGCUUUCUUGGGAAAAAAUGCCUGGAAAUUUAAUGAGGCAAAGCCCGUGGUGUACCUAGCACAUUGCUGACGCAUGCCAGGCCUUGGUGCGGACCGUUCUCUGCACCCUUGCCCCACCUGGCAAGGUCAAGGCUAUGGCAAUGAGGGAGCCAGUGCAAUAAAACAAGAUCAGUUGCUCCAUGAGAUUUGGAAGCGCUCAUGUCUCCAGAUGUCAGGCUGCGAAUAUUUAGAUGCCACAAAUAUUUGCUCAACUCCCAUAAGCUAAAGAAUGCACUCCUCACGAAUCUCAUUUUAGCAUUAUUUUUAUUAAAAUCACAUUUCAACCUUGAACCAUCAGGACCUUUCCCACUAGCCGGAAAUGAUUGGUGAGCCAGAUGCUGGGUAUAGAGUGUCACGAGGUUUCGAAUUUGAUGAGAGUGACUCCUCUCUGGAAGAAUCGAGGGUGACUCACAGGCUGGGAGGACUGCGGGAGCUGGGGAAGUGGGGGUCAUGCUACCAGGCUGGGUCCCAAGAGCAGCAGAACCCUAGCACCGAGGAAACACAAAGGGCCAAUCUCAGCAUUACUGUUGUUAAGAGACAUAAUUCAAGUAUUUUACACAAAUCCAAAACAACUUUUUGAAACUUAGACUUUUUAAUCUCACAGUGAUUCAGUUUAGGACAUGUAGCCUCAUUGCAGAAUCUUUUGGACCACAGGGGACAUUAUGACACAGGCUCGUGUGUCCAUAAGGGAGUGUGGUGUGCUGAUCAACUUGAGGAGUGACAGUCUUGUGGCAGUGAUGCAAUCUUGGGCAUGGUGGCUCAUGUCUGUAAUCCUAGCAUGUGGAGAGGCUGAGAUGGGAGGAUUGCUUGAAGCCAGGAGUUCAAGACCAACCUAGGCAACCUAGGCAACAAAGAAGACCUCUGUCUCUACAAAAAUUAUACAACAAUAAUUAGCUGGUCAUGGUGGUGCAUGCCUGUGUCCCAGCUACUCAGGAGAUCUAGGUGGGAGGACUACUUAAGCCCAGAAGUUUGAGGCUGCAUUUAGCUAUGAUCAUGCCACUUCACUCCAGUCUGAGCCAUAGAAUGAGACUCCAUCUCUUAAAAACAAAAACCAAACAAAACAUGUGAGUAGUGUGGGCGCUACUAACUCUUUCUACACAGGUGACCUCUUCACUAACAAUGUCCUUAUCCCCAAGUGAAAUUAGGGUGAUUUUGAGACGGAGUCUCACUCUGUCAUCAGGCUGGAGUGCAGUGGUGCAACCUUGGCUCACUGCAAUCUCCGCCUCCCAAGUUCAAGCGAUUCUCCUGUCUCAGCCUCCUGAGUAGCUGGGAUUACAGGCCUGCAACACCACACCCAGCUAAUUUUUGUAUUUUUAGUGGAGAUGGGGUUUCACCAUGUUGGCCAGGAUGGCCUCGAUCUUCUGACCUCAUGAUUCGCUCACCUUGGCCUCCCAAAGUGCUGGGAUUACAGGUGUGAGCCACCACGCCCGGCCAUUUCUGUUUUUUUAACGCCACCCAGUUUGUGAAACUCUGUAUGACAUCCUUAGCAAAGGGAUAUAGGCAUAUACUGAAUGAUUAACUGCUAACAGGGAAGGCCUUCAUUGGGUUGGGAAUCCCCAACAUGAACAUGACAGGUAGUGAAAGCUCCCUCUUUAAAAGGACCAGGGGAGAGUAGAGCUUAUUGAUCAGGAGCUGAGCUUUUGAAACCAGACUGCCUGCUUUGUCUUCCUUCUCUGCCUCUUCCUUUCUAUGUGUCUGGUGCCUCAGUUUCCUGAUCUAUUCAAUGGGGGACAUGCUAAUAUCUAAAGGGUUGCAGGGAAGAGUAAAUUAUGUCUCACAAGUACCCGCAUAAUGCGUGGCACUAGUAAGCGGUCAAUAAAUGCUAGCUCUCAUUACCAAGCUUGUCUUCCUUUGAGUUUUUGCAGUGAAAACUGUUCUCUGCUUGGUAGAAUUUGCCCGCAGGCCCCCAUGUGACAGGGGCUCUUACAAAAGAGUUUGUUUACAUGCAUCAAGUUACCAACAUUUUCCAAGAAAUUAGGGUGUUGACCAAUACAAUCUCAUUGAGAUGGGGUUAUGAGAGUGGUCCCUAAUUCAGUAUGACUGUAUUCUUAUAGAAAGACCCUUCUUUCUAUAAGAAUUUGAAGGCAGACACACACAGGAAGGGGAACACAUUUAGAAGAUAGAGAUACAGAUUAGAUUUGUGCAAUGGCAAGCCAAGAAAUACCAACGGUUGAUGACACUAUGGUGUGAAGAUUUGUCUCCUCCAAAACUCAUGUUGAAAUGUAAUCCCCAAGGUAGCAGUAUGGAGAGGUAGAGCCUUGAAGAGGUGAUUGGUCUGCCCUCAUGAAUGGAUUAAUCCAUUGAUGGAUCAAUGGGUUAAUGGAUUAUCAUAGGAGGGGAACGGGUGGCUUUAUAUUAGGAGGAAGAGAUACCUGGGCUAACAUGCUCCACUUCCUCAUCAUGUGAUGUCCUGUGCUACCAUGAGACUCUACAGAGUUCCCAGCAGCAAGAAGGCCCUGAGCAGAUAUGGCCCUCUGACCUUGGACUUCUCAGCCUCCGUGACUGUAAGAAAUACAUGCCUUUUCUUUUUAAAUUACCCAGUUUCAGGUAUCCUGUUGCAAGCAACAGAAAAACGACUAAGAUAUCUGGUAACAACUGAAAGUAAAGAGAGAAAGCACGGCCCUGCCAAGACCUUGCCUUCUGACUUCCACCCUCUAGAACUAUGGGAGAAGAAAUUGCUGUCGUUUUGAGCCACCCAGUUUAUGACCUACUUUGUUAUGGCUGCCCUAGGAAGCUAAUGCAUUCUCAAACUUCUGUCUCCUUUGACUAGCAGGUAAACCAAAUUCCUAACAAAAGGCCACGGGGAAGCCUGCAUCUAGCAGUUUUAUAAGAACAACAGGGGCAGGAUCCAAACUGGAAGGUAACAAAGGGGUAGCUGAGGAGGAAGUGGCUACAGAGUAGACUCUUGUUUUAAGGUCCUUAGGAAAAAUAUUUAAUUUCUGUAAGUCUCAGUUUUCUCAUCCCUAGCAUGGAGAUAACAACAGCACAUAGGUUUGUGGUUAAGCAAAAUGAAUGAGUGAUUGCCUGUUAAGUGCUAAGUACCAGGCAGGAAAACAAAUAAGCAGUCUCACAUUAAAUAAAUGGAAACAAUAUUUUAAAGAUGUAAAUGCUUAAUAUACAUUGUAGAUUUAAAUGGCUUCUAUUAAUAUGUUCAGUAAUUCACCCCUUCUUAGUCCUUAGUACUAGGGGUGUGUUCUGGAAGAAAAGGACACCAUUCCUGCUAUUCAGAAGUUAAUAGAUGAACGCAGUCACUGCUUCUGCUACUAAUAACAAUCCUACCUCCCUAAGUAUGGAAAAGGCAACCCAGAGAGCUGACUUAGGAUGAGAACAUCAAUUGGCCACCUAUCAAAAAGGCGGACAGCCCAACUUCUGAGCUGUGAAUCUGACUAUUCUGUGAUGAAAACAGAAUAGAAAUAGACAAUAAGAACCUGAAAUUAAGAUAUUUUUCAAAUCAAAAGUGAAAAAAGAGAUAAGGAAAGUAUUUUUUAAUUGGAAAGCAUUAUUAUUUAAAAGCAUUGUCAGAAAGAAUUAGGGAGUGGAGAAGCUGUUCAGCCAAGAUCAAGGGUUUGCACACAUGACUCUUUGAUCACACAGGUUUUGAGAGAGUCAUAAAAUAUUUACAGUGCAGAAGCCACUGGACAAUGCCUAAGACAAAAUCUAAUUGUAUCCUCAAGCCAAAGGGUCACUACCUGAUGAUGGGACCCCGCAGGGCCCAGAAACAGGGCUCCGAUGCCCAUGUUAGUGUGUGCCCAUUGUGUCCUGUUGCCCCUAGGUCCAGGGCUCACCAAAUUCCUCAAGAAAGGUCCAGGUUCAGGGAAUCCACUUUCCCCAUGGCAUCCAACUCUCCCACCUUCCAGCUGGCCCUAGAAUCUGCCAUCUUUCUUGUCUAUAUACUACAUCAUGAUUUUUCAGAGUUGCUUGCAAAGUGUAUAUAAAUAUCACAUAGCACACAGUUCAGAGGGUUUGGCUGGUGACUGAGCUGUACCUGAAGAGACCCACAAUCUGGGGAGGUAGGACAUGCCCCUCUCAUGUUGUGCUCUCAGGCUUUGUGACCUCACCCAUCUCCCCACUGAUACUCUGAGCCCUUUAAAGGAUAGCCUCUCACCUCUAUAUCCAGCACUUUCUGCAGGUCUGGUUCAAUGAAUAUUCAUAAAUGAAUGCACAGAAUUUGAAUGAAUAUGUAAGUGGUGGGGGUAAAAAAUACCUAGAGAGGGAAGACUAGUUUGGGAUAUAGAAGACGUCAUUCAUAGGGUGACACAUGAGUGGAUCCUGAGGAUGCUGAAGAGUUCCCUAAGCAAGGGAAGUGGGGCAGCCUUGGAGACAGAAAAGCAUUGUAUGCAGGGCUGCUCCUCGCUCCGCUGAAGAAGGGUGAGAAGUUCAGGCUCCUGAGGAGUAAGGGGCAGGCAUGGAUUUGCCUGAGACAAGCCUGGAUAUUAGAUCUGCCUGGACCAGGAAUGAAAGGGCCUCCCUGUUGGAGAACCUGGGAUCUCUCUGGAGGGAGGCUGAGCAUGAAGGAUGAAUCUGGGGAACAGGAUGACAGUAACGGAUUUGAGGUCUAGAAAAACCACGAGUGGGUUACCAAUAGAUGGAGGACAGCAGGCCAGGAAAUCAAGAGACUAGGUGAAAAACAAGAGUCUUGACCCAAGAGGGUGAACUUUGGACAGAAAGGGGAAGGGGUCUAAAAGGCAUUUUCCAGACACAAUUUUUGACUCACAUGGGAAGUGAGGAAAAGGUUUUAGCCUCACAGUCUGGGCAGAUAAUGAUGCUCAUUUUUGAGACAGGUGGUACUAAAGACGACAAAGCAGAGAGGGGAGCUGAGGGUUCAGUCUGGAUUUGUCAAGUUCAAGUCACCGGAGGGACAUCUCAGUGAGAAUAUCCUACUCAAGGGCUAUAAAUUAUAAAGUUAGAGCCUUAGGAUUCAACAAUACCUGUAAAGAAGAUCUGCAGGUCAUCAUGGAACCAUGACUAUAUUUCAAUAUUGCUUUGAAUAAAGCAAGGCUGACGUCGUGCACUGGAGCUUACCAUGUGAAAAUCAAUUUUCCACACUUUGGAGUUCACAACGCACAUUCACAACCUUCCCCUCAUUAACAUCCCUACCGCCACCACCAUCCCUGCUUAUGGCAUAGACGACCAAGAUUAGAAACAUGAUUUAGCCAAUCUGAGAAUGACCAAAGUAGGCAGGUUGUUCUAGGAUCAUGUAACUAAAAGCAGUGCCUCUUGGACUGAUGGUCUCAAGUCCAGUUUCAAUCUCUUCCCAUCCUAGUGUUUUGACCAUUGAAUCUACUAUAUGCUAAGCUUUAAAACUCCCAUGAGAUGUGUUGGUGGAGUCCCUAAUGCAAAGGGCAUUGGAUACCUUGCCUGAGCACAGCUCAGAAGAGAAGCUGGAGAUUGUAGGUGUGGGGCUCUCAAAGCCAUCUCUGCAGAGGGAAGGCUGAGUGAGAGUAUCUUCAGGGGCAACACAAGAUUUCUGUGCAUCUGAAUAAGGUGAAGCAGGGACUAGAGGCAUCUGAAAGCUGAACGCAUGUGCAUUAGAACUAGACUUGAGUUCAAGUCCUGGCUUCAGCACUUAUUUAUUUAUUUAUUUAUUUUAUUUUAUUUUAUUUUUCUUUUUUUGAGACGGAGUUUUGCUCUUGUUGCCAGGCUGGAGGGCAAUGGCGCCAUCUCUGCUCACUGCACCUCCGCCUUCCGGGUUCAAGCAAUUCUCCUGCCUCAGCCUCCUGAGUAGCUGGAGUUACGGGCACCUGCCACCACACCUGGCUAAUUUUUGUAUUGUUGGCCAGGCUGGUCUCAAACUCCUGACCUCAGGUGAUCCACCCACCUCGGUCUUGGUUAAGUGGGAGGAUUGGUGGAUCUUGACUGCUGGGCUGUUACACAAACAAAGUGCAAUUCUGCACAUGGAGACUGCACAAUACUGACUGGCAUUGGUAAGUGUUUAGUAAAUUCAUGUGGUCAGAUGGGGAAAGCCAGUUUGUCCAUGUUCUUUGUCAUAGAAUUGCUUUCUCAUGGGUCUUGCCCUUUUCUGUGCCCUUGAAGACACAGGGCUUUGCGCCAGAUGCCUGACAGCUAGUAAAUGUUCAAGAAAAGAAAAACAAUCCCAGGCAGUAAAUCAAAGGAUAGUUUCUAAUAAGAGAAACAACAGAACAAAGAAUACAGGAAACAUUUGAAAGAUCCGGAACCAUAACAUAAAAUAACAGUGUGUCUGGACCUAUAAAUAAUAACGUGUGCUAUGGGGGAGAAAUGGUUCCCUUUUGAUAGGUUUGUAAAACCAGAUGAAGGAAGCAGAGGAACACGUGAACUUCCAUCUCUUGAAACUGGCACUCACCAAAGGAAUGCAGAUGAGCUCAGUUACCCAACUAUAACGUGGAUUGAGAAACAGCCUAAAUGUAAUAAAAUUGAUGGUGCCUAAUUGUCCAGGGGUUUAGUCCACAGGGUACAAAGUGGGAAGGGUGUGGUCUGAUUCUGCAGGACCAUUAAUUAAUUGAGAGCAGGUUAAUGAGGUUUGCCAAGAAUAUCCUAAAUCAUCAUGGCCUGGGAGCACGAUCAAAGUGAAAAGCAUAAUACAGGGAACUCAUCAAAACUAGAAUUAUGAGUUAAAAAUGAGAUGCAGCUUGGAAAUAAUGCAAACAAAAGUAUCUGGAGAAAAAUGAUCAGAAACAACCAGAGAAUGCAGUAGGGGGCUCCAGCAAGAAAAGCAAUGGAAAUUCAAAGACAGUAACAGAUUAAAUAUAGGAAGAAAAGAAUGGACUGCAUAAGCUGGAAAAGGUUAAAGGAAUGAGUAGUCUGCUGCCAAGUAUAACUGUUAUGAACCCAGGAAGGUGUGGCUCUGCCUUUCUAGCUGGUUGCAUCUCAGAGGAAGAUGGAGGUGAUGGUUGUGGAUAUGAAGAGGUCCUAAUACAUAGGACCUGUGUUAGCUCCAGCAACCUUGAACUUGCUACCUGCACUCCUCAUGCCUCAGUGUCUUUGCCUGCAAAGCGCAAAUAAAAAUAACAACCACCUCCAUCCUACAGGGUUCUUGUGAGGAAUAGAUGACUAAAGAUGGGAAAAAAUUGAAAAUUGUAAUUGAAAAUUGUAAAGGUUUUGCAAACAACAGUCAUGGGUUCAAACAAACCAAACUAAUAAAAAAAGUUCUAUAGAUGCAUUGACUUCAUUGAUUUACCUGUCAAAGUGAGAUUUUUUUAGUCCUCUGGAGUCUUCCUGUGGAGUGAGAAUUAAAUUUGUUGAUACCUGUGAAAUAUGUAUAAUAUAUCAUACAUACAUAUGUAUACAAGAAAUAUACAAAAUGACAUUUCACAUAUAUACAUGAAAUAAUAACAUAUAUUUCACAUGACAUGUAUAGAAAAGUAUCUGGCAAUAGAAAAUGUUUGAGACAUGUUAAUGACUUUUCCACAAUGUGUCAGUUCUUCUUUGUAAAUCAGUUUCUCUCACUAGAAUGCACUAGAAUGUGCACUCCUUGAGGGUCAAAGCCACCUUAUCUAUGCUUUAUAUUUCAGCACAAAACACUGUGUUUGACACCCAGAGAUAUCUGUGAUUGAAAGGGCAACAAUGAUAAUGACACUUAAUAUUUAUUAAUGCUGACUUUGCAUGAGGGAUUAUGUUAGCUGCUUUACCUUUCUUAAUUAUCAUGAAAUCAUUUGAAUUAGGUAUUAUCAUGUGUCUUAUUUUACUUAUGAAGAAGCAGGUACAGAGAAGUGACAUGAAAUUCCUAAAUUACACAGUAAGAGGUGGAGCAGAGAUGGAGUCCAUGCCAGGCUUUGUACCACACCAGUCUGGUCUUCUCACUCUAAAAAGGAAGGAAUAGAAGCAUGGAUGAACAAGUGAAUGAAGGAAUGAAAGCAUGAGUGAAUGAGUGAGUGGCAGGACAAUUAUCUAACAUAUUGUAGCGAUGGAUAAUGUUGACAUAUGCACAGAACUCAACUCCCAGGAAGCUAGCUGGGAAAGUGUGCUCCUUGGAUCCUCUCACAGUUUUCUUGGGCCUCAUUUGAAUUUCUUUCUAUAUAUGUAUAUAUUUUAAGUUCUGGGAUACAUGUGCAGAACACGUAGGUUUGUUACAUAGGUAUGGAUGUGCCAUGGUGGUUUGAUGCACCCAUCAACCUGUCAUCUUCAUUAGGUAUUUCUCCUAACGUUAUCCCUUCCCUAGCCCCCUACUCCCUGACAGGCCCCAAUGUGUGAUGUUCCCCUCCCUGUGUCCAUGUGUUCUCAUUGUUCAACUCCCACUUAUGAGUGAGAACAUGUGGUGUUUGGUCUUUUGUUCCUGUGUUAGUUUGUUGAGAAUGAUCAUUUCCACUUUCACCCAUGUCCCUGCAAAGGACAGAAGCUCAUCCUUUUUAUGGCUGCAUAGUGUUCCAUAGUGUAUAUGUGCCACAUUUUCUUUACCUCGUCUAUCAUCGGUAGGCAUUUGGGUUGUUUCCUAGUCUUUGCUAUUGUGAAUAGUGCUGCAAUAGACAUAUGUGUGCAUGUGUCUUUAUAGUAGAAUGAUUUGUAAAUCUUUGGGUAUAUACCCAGUAAUGGGAUUGCUGGGUCAAAUGGUAUUUCUGGUUCUAGAUCCUUGAGGAUUUGCCACACUGUCUUCAAUAAUGGUUGAACUAAUUUACACUCUCACCAACAGUGUAAGUGUCGCUAUUUCUCCACAUCCUCUCCAGCAUCUGUUGUUUCCUGACAUUUUAAUGAUCACCAUUAUAACUGGCAUGAGUUGGUAUCUCAUUGUGGUUUUGAUUUGCAUUUCUCUAGUGACCAGUGUUGAUGAGCUUUUUUUCAUAUGUUUGUUGGCUGCACAAAUAUUUUCUUUUGAGAAGUGUCUGUUCAUAUCCUUUGCCCCCUUUUUGAUGGGGUUGUUUUUUUUCUUGUCAAUUUGUUUAAGUUCCUUAUAGAUUCUGGAUAUUAGCCCUUUGUCAAAUGGAUAGAUUGCAAAACUUUUCUCCCAUUCUGUAUGUUGCCUGUUCACUCUGAUGAUAGUUUCCUUUGCUGUGCAGAAGCUCUUUAAUUUAAUUAGAUCCCAUUUGUCAAUUUUGGCUUUUAUUGCCAUUGCUUUUGGUGUUUUAGUCAGGAAGUCUUUGCCCAUGCCUAUGUCCUGAAUGGUAUUGCCUAGGUUUUCUUCUAGGGUUUUUAUGUUUUUAUGUUUUACAUUUAAGUCUUUAAUCCAUCUUGAGUUAAUUUUUGUAAAAGAUGUAAGGAAGGGGUCCAGUUUCGGUUUUCUGCAUAUGGCUAGCCAGUUUUCUCAACACUAUGUAUUAAAUAGGGAAUCCUUUCUGCAUUGCUUGUUUUUGUCAGGUUUGUCAAAGAUCAGAUGGUUGUAGAUGUGUGGCAUUAUUUCUGAGGCCUCUGUUCUGUUCCUUUGGUCUAUAUAUCUCUUUUGGUACCAGUACCAUGCUGCUUUGGUUACUGUAGCCUUGUAGCAUAGUUUGAAGACAGGUAGCGUGAUGCCUCCAGCUUUGUUCUUUUUGCUUAGGAUUGUCUUGGCUAUGCAGGCUCUUUUUUAUUUCCAUAUGAAAUUUAAAGUAGUUUUUUCCAAUUCUGUGAAGAAAGUCAAUGGUAGCUUGAUGGGGAUAGCAUUAAAUCUAUAAAUUACUUUGGGCAGUAUGGCAAUUUUCACAAUAUUGAUUCUUCCUAUCCAUGAGGAUGGAAUGUUUGUCUAUUUGUUUGUGUCCUCUCUUAUUGAGCAGUGGUUUGUAGUUCUCCUUCAAGAGGUUCUUCACGUCCCUUUUAAGUUGUAUUCCUAGGUAUUUUAUUCUCUUUGCAGCAAUUGUGAAUGGGAGUUCACUCAUAAUUUGGAUCUCUAUUAUUGGUGUAUAGGAAUGCUUGUGAUUUUUGCACAUUGAUUUUGUAUCCUGAGACUGCUGAAGUUGCUUAUCAGCUUAAGGAGAUUUUAGGCUGAGAUGAUGGGGUUUUCUAAAUAUACAAUCAUGUCAUCUGCAAACAGAGACAAUUUGACUUGCUCUCUUCCUGUUUGAAUACCCUUUAUUUCUUUCUCUUCCCUGAUUGCCCUGGCCAAUACUGUGUUGAAUAGGAAUGGUGAGAGAAGGCAUCCUUGUCUUGUGCUGGUUUUCAAAGGGAAUGCUUCUCAGCUUUUGACCAUUCAGUAUGAUAUUGCCUGUGGGUUUGUCAUAAAUAGCUCUUAUUAUUUUGAGAUACAUUUUAUCAAUACCUAGUUUAUUGAGAAUUUUUAUCAUGAAGUGGUGUUGACUUUUACCGAAGGCCCUUUCUGCAUCUAUUAAGAUAAUCAUUUGGUUUUUAUCAUUGGUUCUGUUUAUGUGCUGAAUUACGUUUAUUGAUUCAUGUAAGUUGAGCCAGCCUUGCAUCCCAGGGAUGAAGCUGACUUGAUCAUGGUGGAUAAGCUUUUUGAUGUGCUGCUGGAUUCAGUUUGCCAGUAUUUUAUUGAGGAUUUUCACAUCGAUGUUCAUCAGGGAUAUUGGCCUGAAAUUAUCUUUUUUUGUUGUGUCUCUGCUGUGAAUCUGUCUGGUCCUGGGCUUUUGUUGGUUGGUAGGCUAUUAAUUACUGCCUCAAUUUCAGAACUUGUUAUUGGUCUAUUCAGGGAUUCAACUUCUUCCUGGUUUAGUCUUGGGAGAGUGUAUGUGUCCAGGAGUUUUGGUAUCAGGAUGAUGCUUGCCUCAUAAAAUGAGUUAUGGAGGAGUCCCUCUUUUUCUAUUGUUUGGAAUAGUUUCAGAAGGAAUGGUACCAGCUCCUCUUUGUACCUCUGGUAGAAUUCGGCUGUGAAUCUGUCUAGUCCUGGGCUUUUGUUGGUUGGUCAGCUAUUAAUUACUGCCUUAAUUUCAGAACUUGUUAUUGGUCUAUUCAGGGAUUCAAGUUCUUCCUGGUUUAGUCUUGGGAGGGUGUAUGUGUCCAGGAGUUUAUCCAUUUCUUCUAGAUUUUCUAGCUUAUUUGCAUAUAGGUGUUCACAGUAUUCUCUGAUGGUAGUUUGUAUUUCUGUAGGAUCAGUGGUGAUAUCCCCUUUAUCACUUUUUAUUGUGUCUAUUUGAUUCUUCUUUCUUUUCUUCUUCAUUAGUCUGGUUACCAGUCUAUCUAUCUUGUUUAUCUUUUCAAAAAACCAGCUUCUGGAUUCAUUGAUUUUUUUGGAGGGUUUUUCGUGUCUAUCUCCUUCAUUUCUGCUCUGAUCUUAGUUAUUUCUUGCCUUCUGCUAGCUUUUGAAUUUGUUUGCUCUUGCUUGUCUAGUUCUUUUAAUUGUGAUGUUAGAGUGUCGAUUUUAGAUCUUUCCUGCUUUCUCCUGUGGGCAUUUAGUGCUAUAAAUUUCCCUCUAAACACUGCUUUAGCUGUGCCCCAGAGUUUCUGGUACGUUGUGUCUUUGUUCUCAUUGGUUUCAAAGAACUUACUUAUUUCUGCCAUAAUUUCGUUAUUUACCCAGUAGUCAUUCAGGAGCAGAUUGUUCAGUUUCCAUGUAGUUGUGUGGUUUUGAGUGAGUUUCUUAAUCCUGAGUUCUAAUUUGAUUGCACUGUGGUCUGAGAGACUGUUUUUUAUUAUUUCCAUUCUUUUGCAUUUGCUGAGGACUGUUUUACUUCCAAUUAUGUGGUCAAUUUUAGAAUAAGUGCAAUGUGGCACUGAGAAGAAUGUAUGCUCUGUUGAUCUGGGGUGGAGAGUUCUGCAGAUGUCUAUUAGUUCCAUUUGAUCCAGAGCUGAGUUCAAGUCCUGAAUAUCCUUGUUAAUUUUCUGUCUCAUUGAUCUGUCUAAUAUUGACAGUGGGGUGUUAAAGUCUCCCAUUAGUAUUGUGUGGGAGUCUAAGUCCCUUUGUAGGUCUCUAAGAACUUGCUUUAUGAAUCUGGGUGCUCCUGUAUUGGGUGCAUAUAUAUUUAGGAUAGUUAUCUCUUCUUGUUGCAUGGAUUCCUUUAUGAUUAUACAAUUACCUUGUUUGUCUUUUUUGAUCUUUGUUAGUUUAAAGUCUGUUUUGUCAGAGACUAGGAUUGCAACUCCUCAUUUCUUUUCUUUUUCUUUCUUUUUUUUUUGUUUGCUUUCCAUUUGCUUAGUAAAAUUUCCUCUGUCUCUUUAUUUUGAGUCUAUGUGUGUCUUUGCAUGUGAGAUGGGUCUCCUGAAUACAGCACACCAAUGGGUCUUGAUUCUUUAUCCAAUUUGCCAGUCUGUGUCUUUUAAUUGGGGAAAUUAGCCCAUUUAGAUUUAAGGUUAAUAUUGUUAUGUAUGAAUCUGAUCCUGUCAUUAUGAUGCUAGCUGGUUAUUUUGCCUGUUCGUUGAUGUAGUUUCUUCAUAGUAUUGAUAGUCUUUAGAAUUUGGUAUAUUUUUGCAGUGGCUGGUACCAGUUUUUCCUUCCUAUAUUUAGUGCUUCCUUCAAGAGCUUGUAAGACAGGCCUGGUGGUGACAAAAUCUCUCAGCAUUUUGCUUGUCUGUAAAUGAUUUUAUUUCUCCUUCACUUAUGAAGCUUAGUUUGGCUGGAUAUGAAAUUCUGGGUUGAAAAUUCUUUUCUUUAAGAAUGUUGAAUAUUGGCCCCCCACUCUCUUCUGGCUUAUAGGGUUUCUGUAGAGAGAUCUGCUGUUAGUCUGAUGGGCUUCCCUUUGUGGGUAACCAGACCUUUCUUUCUGGCUGCCCUUAACAUUUUUUCCUUCAUUUCAACCUUGGUGAAUCUGAUGAUUAUGUGUAUUGGGGUUGCUCUUCUUGAGGAGUGUCUUUGUGGUGUUCUCUGUAUUUCCUGAAUUUGAAUGUUGAACUGUCUUGCUAGGCUGGGAAAGUUCUGGAUAAUAUCCUGAAGAGUGUUUUCCAACUUGGUUCCGUUCUCUCCGUCACUUUCAGGUACACCAAUUGUAGGUAGAUUUGGUCUUAUCACACAGUCCCAUAUUUCUUGGAGGCUUUGUUCAUUCCUUUUCAUUCUUCUUUCUGUAAUCUUGUCUUCAUGCUUUAUUUCAUUAAGUUGAUCUUCAGUCUCUGAUGUCCUUUCUUCCACUUGAUUCAUUUGGCUAUUGGUACCUGUGUAUGCUUCACGAAGUUCUCAUGCUGUGUUUUUCAGCUCCAUCAGGUCAUUUAUGUUCUCUAAACUGGUUAUUCUAGGUAUCAAUUCGUCUAACCUUUUUUCAAGGUUCUUAGCUUCCUUGCAUUGGGUUAGAACAUGCUCCUUUAGCUUAGAGGAGUUUGCUAUUACCCACCUUAUGAAGCCUACUUCUGUCAAUUCGUCAAACUCAUUCUCUGUCCAUUUUUGUUCCCUUGCUGGCAAGGAGUUGUGAUCCAUUGGAGAAGAAGAGGCAUUCUGGAUUUUGGAAUUUUCAGCCUUUUGGCACUUUUUUUUUUCUCAUCUUGAGUGGAUGUCCUUUUUGUUGAUGUUGAUGCUAUUCCUUUCUGUUUGUUAGUUUUCCUUCUAACAGUCAGGCCCCUCUGCUGCACAUCUGCUGGAGUUUGCUAGAAACCUGUUUGCCUGGGUAUCAUCAGCGGAGGCUGCAGAACAGCUAAGAUUGCUGCCUGUUCCUUUCUCUGGAAGCUUCGUCCUAGAGGGGCCUUCACAAGGUGCCAGCCAGAGCUCUCCUGUAUGAGGUGUCUGUUGACCCCUGCUGGGAGGUGUCUCCCAGUCAGGAGGCAUGGGGGUCAGGGACCCACUUGAGGAGGCAGUCUGUCCCUUAGCAGAGCUCAAGCACUGUGCUGUGAGAUCCUCUGCUGUCUUCAGAGCCGGCAGGCAGGAAUGUUUAAGUCUGCUGAACCUGUGCCCACAGCCUCCCCUUCCCCAAGGUGCUCUGCCCCAGGGAGAUGGGAGUUUUAUCUAUAAGCUCCUGACUGGGGCUGUUGCCUUUCUUUCGGAGAUGCUCUGCCCAGAGAAGAGGAAUCUAGAGAGGAAGUCUGGCCUCAGCAGCUUUGCGGAGAUACAGUGGGCUCUGCCCAUCUCAAACUUCACUGUGGCUUUUUUUACACUGUGAGGGGAAAACGCCUACUCAAGCCUCAGUAAUGGUGGAUGCCCCUCCACCCCUCGACCUCACCAAGCUCGAACAUCCCAGGUCGACUUCAGACAGCUGUGCUGGCAGAGAGAAUUUCAAGCCAGUGUAUCGUAGCUUGCUGGGCUCUGUGGGGGUGGGAUCCAUGGAGCAAGACUGCUUGGUCCCAUGGCUUCAAACCCCUUUCCAAGGGAUUGAAUGGUUCUGUCUCGCUGAUGUUCCAGGGACCACUAGAUUAUGAAAAAAUAAACUCCUGCAGCUAGCUCGGUGUCUGCUUAAAUGGCCGCCCUGUUUUGUGCUUGAAACCCAGGCCCUGGUGAUGUAGGCACCUGAGGGAAUCUCCUGGUCUGCGGGUUGCGAAGACCAUGGGAAAAGCAUAGUAUCUGGGCUGGAGUGCACUGAUCCUCAUGGCACAGUCCCUCAUGGCAUCCCUUGGCUAGGGGAGGGAAUUCCCCUACCCCUCGUGCUUCCCUGGUGAGGUGACACCCCACCCACCUUUGGCUCACCCUCUGUGGGCUGCACCCACUGUCUGGCCAGUCCCAAUGAGCUGGAUACCUCAGUUGGAAAUGCAGAAAUCACCUGCCUUCCGCAUUGAUCUUGCUGACAGCUACAGACCAAAGCUGUUCCUUUUCGGACAUCUUGCCAUCCACUCCUUCAUUUGAAUUUCUGACACAUGAAAACCCUUUUUCCUUCUUCCUUAGAAAUCAGCCCCCUGGAUGCAUUCCAGAAAUGAUACUGAAAUCUCUUUAAUAUAGGGGUGAUUUCAUCAGAACGAUCUGAGUCAGGCUUAUUUUACCGUGAGCUGUUCCACCAAAUGUUGAGUUUGGUGAAAUCAAAUUAUUACAGAAAGUUUAAUGAAUGCGAUAGCAAGAAUCACUUUGCACAGUACAGAACACAGCCCCUCUGAGACUUCCUGGUUUCAGAAACUACUUAAUGCUAGCAAAAAUGUGAUAACACUCACUCUGAUGCCCAGUCUAUGCAGCUACCAUCAGUACCCACCAUGGCCCAGCACUGAGCUCAUUGUUUCUAUUUAUUAUUUCCAUCUGGCCACAAAACUACAUUUUAAGGCUAAGAAGCCUAAGCCAAGCAUUUUGUUAGCUCAUAUCCCAGCCUAGCAUCCAGAUCUAAUUUCUCCUUUUCUCGGACAUCCCUGCAGUCAGAGCCUUGCUCUAAGCAAGCAACCUUUUUCCAUCAUUUAUUGUCUGUUUCAGAUUAAAAGUUUGGGGCUACUGCUGUUUCUGGUUGUCAAAUGUUAACACUUCUGAAACUGCGCCUCAUUAAACUUUUAAUAUCCUGCCAUGGCCUCCCCUUUGGGGCUGAUCUUUAACUCUCAGAGGCUUAUAGAAAUGUAUACAUUUAAUAGUCUUAUCACUUUCAAAAUGCAAAGGAGUUAAUGCAACUUAUUUUCUCUGUUAUUUAUGUCUGGGUUUUUUGUUUGUUUGUUUGUUUUAUUACACCAUAUGGGUUAAUGCACCAUAUGGUUGCCUUUUACAAUGGGUCAAUCAUGACUCUUUACAAUGUCUUUCAGAAGCCACUGAGACAGUGGUGGGGCAGCCACCUUCUCCUUCUUCUUCUUCCUGCUUUCCCUCAGAGAUGGACUCUUAAUAAGAUAUCUCAGAAGCUGGACUGGCUUAACUGGGUGAGUGCCUCUGCUCUGCUGUGCCCUAAACUCUGCCCAUUUGACUUUCGUCUGCCCCCAUUAGAUCCUGCUGCUGAUCUAGAAUGAUUUAAAAUUCUGGGCAGAGUCUCUGGAGAUCAAGCCCAAGGCUAACCUUGAUGAUGGCUGCCUCAUGUGCUUCUGAAGGCUUCCUUUUGCAUCUUCCCAAGUUGUCGCCCUUUUCCCAAAUCCUGCACUGCAAUCUUAUAACUUCCCUCAAGCCCUGUAUGGUAGCCCUUGAACUUCUUUUACUGUAGCAGGUUCCCAUUGUAAGCAGGGGGUGGUCUCUUGGGUCUUGGCAUCUAGGCAGGGCCUGGGGCUGCCAGAGGGAGAGCCAUGUCACCUGAGAGUCUUUUUACUUAUUGCCCAUCUCCUUCCUGCCCCACAUUCUAUCAUCUAACUGGAGGCCACCCACCCAGAAGCAGCUCUCCCCUCCUGAAUGCCCGUCCAUUUGCCUGGGUCCUGUUCAUGGACUACCCACAGAUCUCCCAUCCUCAAGGUCUUCCUGCCAACCAAGUCCUACUCAAGACCCAACCCCUUGAGUCAUGGCUAUCUUCUUGUCACUGGUCUGUGCCAUCUGUCACCACUUCCAGACACACAGCUGCCCAUCUGGUAGAAGACUCUUCCUGAUCUCCAGCUGGCUCUGCCUCCAAACACCAGCCUGCUUCUGGUGGCUAUCUAUCCUCAGCCCCUCUCUGUCCUGCCUCUCUCACAGCCUUCCCAGCUCCUGUUCUGAUAGCUAUUUGAGAAGGAUACCCUCUCAAACCCUGAAGGGCACAAGCGCUCUCUUUGUGUGCCCUAAAGUCCUAAAAGAAAGACCCCUCCUAUAUCUCAACUGGGGGGAAUGUACACUAUUUGCAACCUGCCCCAUCAUUACAUCUGAUCUGGAAGCCCUGACUGCUAACAGACCUUAGGAAAAGGGAGUUACCUCAAGACUACAAGAUAACAGAGUGCUAUAUUUCCCUAUUCCACCUCUGACCAUCAUCACCAUCUUAGAGGUUCUUUAUGGCAUCUUGCAAAUACACUCAUGAUUAAAACAGAAUGGUGAAACCACAUCAAUGUCUAAUGCAUGAUCAUUAGACCUUUGAUUUUAGACUGCCGUGUCAGGUAUGGAAAGGAAGGGUCGUCGUGUUUCCUCUGUGGUGUCAGAAGGGGCCUGCACUAUGAUAAACGUUUCCAGACACCAGAUUUACUUCCACCGUGCCUGGUCCUGUGCUUGACACAUCAUAAGGGCUUUUGGAUGUUGGCUGAAAUGGGUUUCAAGUAACAGGAGGCUGGGUAAACAUAUUCAGAGAGAGACACACAAAGAAAGGCAGAGUGAGAUGAGUUGUCCAGGCUUUGGCUAAGAGGGAGGGAAUGUUGCCUCAGUGUCUUCAGGAGUUUAGAAGCAAGUCAUUGAGCAGUGCUGACCUCCUAGGAAGAGGUGAACCUGGAAAGUAGUAAGAAUGCCACUCAGAGACCAAAGGCCAUCACUAUUAGGUGGUAAGAAGGCGCAUUCAUUUCCUAGGAUUGCUGUAACCAACAGCUACAAACUGGGUGCCUGAAAACAAUCAGAAUUCAUUGUCUGGCAGUUGGGGAGAGAAGUCUGAAAUCAAGGUGUCCACAGGAUUGGUACUAUUGGAGGCUGAGGGAUCUGCCCCACCCCUCUCUGCUAGUAGCUGCUGGUUUUCUGGCUGUAGCAUUUCCACCUUGUGGACUCAUCUCCCAUCUUCAUACAGCAUUCCCUGCAUCUGUCUUUAUAUCACCUGCCCUCUGAACAAGCAUGUCUCUGUGUCCAAAUGUCCCUCUCCUUAUGAGAACACCAGCCAGUGGAUUAGAGCCUACCUAUGCUAAUCCAAUAAGUCUUAUCUUCAUUUGUUUACACCUCAAAGAUUCUAUUUCCAAAUCAACUCACAUUCUGCAGUUCUGGUUGGACAUAAACAUUUGAGGAAACACUAUUCAAUUCAGUACAGAGGAGAGCCAAGUUUGAGUGGAGUCUUAAGGACAUCUUUAGUUUCUUUUUUUUUUAGAGGAAGUCUCACUCCGUCACCCAGGCUGGAGUGCAGUGGCCUGAUCUCUGCUCACUGCAAGCUCCUCCUCCCGGGUUCAUGCCAUUCUCCUGCCUCAGCCUCCCGAGUAGCUGAGGCUACAGGCGCCCGCCACCACGCCUGGCUCAUUAUUUUUGUAUUUUUAGUAAAGACGCCGUUUCACUGUGUUAGCCAGGAUGGUCUCAAUCUCCUGACCUCUUGAUCUGCCCGCCUCGGCCUCCCAAAGUGCUGGGAUUACAGGCGUGAGCCACCGCGCCUGGCCAGGACAUCUUCAGUUUCUAAAGGAACAUCAAGGACAAGACACAGCAUCAAAUCCCAUAGCCGACAGAGAGGAUGAAAGAGGGUGUUGUCUCAAGCCCUGGGGCAGAAGAACAGGCCAGGCCGAACAGAUGGGACACGUUUGAAUCUAAAAUUGCAAAUUCCUCAAUAAGUUAUACAGAUCACACUAAUUUACCUCCAUAUGCAACGAACUCAGAAUCAACAUUUCAGGUCCUGAGGGAAUCUUUGCCAACAUGACGACUUUAAUGAGCCAGGAGUCAGGGGUUAUUUUAAUGAGAAUAUAAAAAAAAAUACGUUCGCCAAUGUUUCAAUGUUUUGUUCUCUAACCAAAAGCAAACAAGCACACAAGCAAAACUGAAUGGAAGGUGGGAAGGUGUUACCUUAAACCGUGGGGAAGGCUGUCAUAGCUGUGUUUUCCCCAGCAUCCACGUCCACGCUCAGCUGUCAGCCCUGCCUCAAAAGUGGAGAGUCCAGGUUCCAUUACUUCUCAGCUAGUGUCCAAAAAAGAAUGUUAAUUGUGAAAUGAAUAUAAUUGUUCUAAGUCACUAUUCUGAGACUAACAAAAGAAAUCAGGAAUGGUGAGUGUGACACCAGGCUUUCCUGGAGGGAUGCUGACAGAUUCUAGAGACUUCUCUCUCCUCUCCCUGCAGCACACAGCACAUGCGCAAAGCCGAUCCCUGUGCAUCGACUGCACAUCCUGCUUGGCAAGAGAAGUGGAGGAGGGUGGGGCCGCGUGUCUGCAGAAAUGGGAGGGCUGACAGAAUCAGUGUUCUAGAGGGUCCUCAGAGCUCAUCCCCUGUGCAUUAAUAAACACUCUCCCAUCACUGAGGACAAUCCCCAUCCUUUUCCCUGACCUCCACCAAGAUCCUGCAUGUCCAGUUCCUUCCUAUUACCACUUAAGGAGCUGCAGGUCAUUUCUCCCAGCCGAUUAGCAGUCAAGAGUGUGGAUUUGAUUCUGGAAUCAAAACACAGCACAGGCCAGGCACUGUGGCUUACUCCUGUAACCCCAGCACUUGGAAAGGCCAAGGUUGGAGGAUCACUUGAGCCCAUGAGACAAGCCUGGACAACUCAUAGCAAGACUCCAUCUCCAUAAGACAUAGAACUAAAAAAAAAAAAUUAGCUGAGCAUGGUGACAACAUACCUGUUGUCCCAGCUACUGGCGAGGCUGAGGCAAGAGGAUCACUUGAACCCUGGAAGUAAAGGCUGUAGUGAGCCAUGUUUGCACCACUACACUCCUGCCUGGGUGGCAAUGAGAACUUGUCUCAUAAAAAGAAAAAAAAAAAAAGCACACAGCACAGGUGCUCUGAGAUUUAGCAGCUAAGUGACCUGGGCCUAUUCACUCAUACUGUUGCCUCAGUUUUCUCAUGUGUAAAGUGCAAGAAUAAUGAUGGUUUAUGCCCAAAUUCUGAUGAUAACAUAUUUCAGAACAAGGAAAAUACUGUAAUUUCAAUUUUUCAGUCUAGAAAACUGAAACCCAAAGAGGUUGGAUAGGUGGGCCGCUGGCCUUCUGAGGACUGAUCCUUCUCACAGGACCAUUUUCCUCAUCCCUUAACUAGAAUGGCCUCAUGUCUGCAAAUGUCUUUUGUAUGAACAUUCAAAAUUAAUUCUAAAAACAUUGCCUCUGGCGCUGCCUUUGUGUGCUAAAUUACAGCCCAUCAUUACUCUGCAAAUAAGAACACAACACCCACCAGCUUGAGCUUCCUAUAGGAACAGUUCUACAACAUGACAGAAAUAGUCUAAAGACUCUCUCCAUACGCACAGAGGUAACGGGUGGCAGGGCUGAGAUUUGAACCUACGAAGUCUGAGUCCAGGGCCCUGGCUCUAAUUAUUACCUCUUUGGGACUGUCAGCAGCCUGGGGAUCAGAGUCACUGCAUCACUCUCUCAUAUCUCUAAUGCCUAUCCUUUAAGAAGCAUGGAUACAUACUUAUUGAAUGAGUGAAUGCAAUUGUCAUAAUAUAUUAUCUCAUAUCAUCUUACAUCAGUUUUAUCAGGACAGGACCAUGCACAAACAUGAACAAUAAUUUUCCUUUAGGAAAAAUAAAUCUUACAUAAUUUAUCUUUUCUGCCCAAGGCCUAGCCUACCAAGGUCAUAGGUAUAUUUGGAAGGUGGUCAGUAUAUGUUUGUUGAAUGGCUGAAUGACUGCACAGUUUGUGUUAGUUUAUGUUGAUGGGUAGAUUAGUUUGUUAGGGCUUCCAUAACAAAAUACUAUACAAUGGGCAGCUUAAACAACAGAAAUUUAUUUUCUCACGUUUCUGGAGGCUAGAAGUCCAAGAUUAAGGUAUUGGCAGGGUUGGGAAAGCUUUCAUCUUCAUAAGAUAGUCAAGUUUUAAACUUGGGAGGUAGGCAUGUUAUUCUCAUUUGCUGGACAUGAACACUGAGGCUCAGAGAGACGGGGGCGCUGACUUGAAGUCAGGCAUCUGGGACAUCAACAUGAGUCUUCAGACCUUGCAGUGCGACCCUCCUCUCUCUCCAGGGACACCUAUGUUCAUCUUUUCCUUGGGAUGCUUAAUCAAUAAAUAUUUAUUGAGUACCUUG